UACGUAGGGCGCAAGCGUUAUCCGGAAUUAUUGGGCGUAAAGAGCUCGUAGGCGGUCUGUCGCGUCGGAUGUGAAAAUCCAAGGCUCAACCUUGGACCUGCAUUCGAUACGGGCAGACUAGAGUUCGGUAGGGGAGACUGGAAUUCCUGGUGUAGCGGUGAAAUGCGCAGAUAUCAGGAGGAACACCGGUGGCGAAGGCGGGUCUCUGGGCCGAUACUGACGCUGAGGAGCGAAAGCGUGGGGAGCGAACAGG
rnacentral:rRNA from 1 species